rnacentral:pre_miRNA from 1 species
GGGGGAGCGCCGGAUCUUGGGCUGUGUCCCUGGCGCCCUGGGCUCCUGGGCCUGUGCUGUUGGUUUCACUCCUGGCCGCUCAGGUCUCU